rnacentral:tRNA from 1 species
UCCCUGGUGGCUUAGUGGGUUAAGGACCCAGCACUGUCACUGCUGUGGCUUGGAUCGCUGCUAUGGUGUGGGUUCAAUCCCCAGCCUGGGAA